rnacentral:rRNA from 1 species
AGAGUUUGAUCCUGGCUCAGAACGAACGCUGGCGGCGUGGCUAACCCAUGCAAGUCGAGCGCGAAAGUUCCCUUCGGGGAGCAAUUAGCGCGGCGAAAGGGUGAGUAAUACAUGGGUAACGUACCCUGGGCACGAGGAUAGUCCACCGAAAGGUGGAGCAAUACUCGAUGAGACCACGGCUCCUGCGGGAGCAGCGGUCAAAGGAUGGGGAUCCCGACAUACGUCGGGACCUAUUGGCCUGGGAUCGGCCCAUGUCCCAUCAGCUUGUUGGUAGGGUAACGGCCUACCAAGGCGACGACGGGUAGCCGGACUGAGAGGUUGACCGGCCUCAUUGGGACUGAGACACUGCCCAGACUCCUACGGGAGGCUGCAGGGAUGAAUAUUCCGCAAUGGGCGAAAGCCUGACGGAGCGACGCCGCGUGUGGGAAUAAGCUCUUCGGGGUGUAAACCACUGUCAGGGGUUACCAAGCAAAUCCCCCUAAUACGGGGAGGCGUUGAGGAGCCCCAGAGGAAGCCACGGCUAACUUCGUGCCAGCAGCCGCGGUAAGACGAAGGUGGCGAGCGUUGUUCGGAAUCACUGGGCUUAAAGAGCACGUAGGCGGCCCAUCAAGCGUCUUGUGAAAUCCCUCGGCUCAACCGAGGAAUUGCUUGGCGAACUGGCAGGCUUGAGGCAGGGAGGGGCGUAUGGAACUCUUGGUGGAGCGGUGAAAUGCGUAGAUAUCAAGAGGAACGCCGGAGGCGAAAGCGAUACGCUGGGC